UAUCAAGAAAAAAAAAGAGAGGUUUGAGGACGAACGACUGUAAUCCUAAUAUCCAUUGAUAGUAAAAUAGAUCUCAUCUCA